CCUACGGGUGGCAGCAGUGGGGAAUAUUGGACAAUGGGGGGAACCCUGAUCCAGCCAUGCCGCGUGUGUGAAGAAGGCCCUCGGGUUGUAAAGCACUUUCAGUGAGGAAGAACGCCUGGUGGUUAAUACCCAUCAGGAAAGACAUCACUCACAGAAGAAGCACCGGCUAACUCCGUGCCAGCAGCCGCGGUAAUACGGAGGGUGCGAGCGUUAAUCGGAAUUACUGGGCGUAAAGCGCGCGUAGGUGGCUUGAUAAGCCGGUUGUGAAAGCCCCGGGCUCAACCUGGGAACGGCAUCCGGAACUGUCAAGCUAGAGUGCAGGAGAGGAAGGUAGAAUUCCCGGUGUAGCGGUGAAAUGCGUAGAGAUCGGGAGGAAUACCAGUGGCGAAGGCGGCCUUCUGGACUGACACUGACACUGAGGUACGAAAGCGUGGGUAGCAAACAGGAUUAGAUACCCUAGUAGUC
rnacentral:rRNA from 1 species